UCCAAGAUUUGGGCAUUCUGAAUGCUUCUGAUAAGAAGUGAACAGAGGCUUGAAAAGAAGCUGAAAGGAUCCCACUAGGGCCUCAUAAAAACAGUAGCAUCUGGGAAAGUUGUCUUAUUUACCCGUGGGUCAAAUACUCUCUUACCGGAUACCAAGGAGGAGCCACUACUUGAAGAAAGAGGAAGAGGCCAUCUUUUUCCACGCCCCACUUCCCUUGGACUAUAAAAAGUGUAGCCCACCUAAUCCUCAGGCCAGAGCCUCCUUGCCUGCCCGCUUUGCAUCUCUCACAAGCAUCUUAACUAAAUAAAUCUAUUUCUUGCCUAUCACUUGGUCUCUCACUGAAUUCCUUCCACUCUGAGGCAC
rnacentral:lncRNA from 1 species